rnacentral:rRNA from 1 species
GACGAACGCUGGCGGCGUGCUUAACACAUGCAAGUCGAACGGAAAGGCCCUGCUUUUGUGGGGUUCUCGAGUUGCGAACGGGUGAGUAACACGUGUGUAACCUGCCCUUUACUUUGGUAUAACUUCAGGAAACUGUGGCUAAUACCGGAUCGGCGCUCCUGCUGCAUGGUGGGGGUUGGAAAGUUUCGGCGGUUGGGGAUGGACUCGCGGCUUAUCAGCUUGUUGGUGGGGUAGUGGCUUACCAAGGCUUUGACGGGUAGCCGGCCUGAGAGGGUGACCGGCCACAUUGGGACUGAGAUACGGCCCAGACUCCUACGGGAGGCAGCAGUGGGGAAUAUUGCACAAUGGGCGGAAGCCUGAUGCAGCAACGCCGCGUGCGGGAUGACGGCCUUCGGGUUGUAAACCGCUUUCGCCUGUGACGAAGCGUGAGUGACGGUAAUGGGUAAAGAAGCACCGGCUAACUACGUG